GGGUCUUUUGGAGGUUUUAGCUUGAGGAUCCUCCUUCCUCGUUUUGGUGAAGUUGUCAGCGUGAAGCUUCUCUUCAUACUUGAUGUUCGUCUUUGCCAUGUUUAGGAACUUGUUCAGAGAGUAGGGUUUGUCUAACAGGUAGAUUUUUAAUGGUUCAUCUGUUCCUCGAACUUGAACUGCUUCUUUAUUGAAUCUCUAGAUGUAGUCUUAUAAAGGUUUGUUCUUCCCUUGCACGAUAUGUGCGGUGAAUUGAUGACAUAGCUUCUCCAAAGUGCCGAUGGAGUCUAUUCGAAGGUUUUUGUACUUAUGACUAAAAUUUAAGUCAAACUAUCAAUUCGAAUCAAAAUUUUGUCAAAAAUUGUUCCACUCAUAAUCAAACUCGU
rnacentral:lncRNA from 1 species